AAACAAGGAGCUAGUGAAGAUCAACAAGGACAUACUCACGUGAAGGAACACUGUAGAAAGGAGAGAACUGUCUGGAUGGCCUGAGUGAGAUGCACACAGUCUUGGCAUUCACUGCUAGUCCCCUCCAUGUUCCCCUUUAUCCUUCACUGACAGACGCCAAUUUUGUUCUGGUGGUAAAGCACCUGCCUCCAAACCACUACAUUUCCCAGCCUGCCUUGCAACAGUGGAUGCACAUGUGAUAUCUCUCUGGCCAGUGAAAAUCUUAGGGCGGAAAUUCUCGGAAGACCUUUAUUUAAAAAAAAAAAAAAAGCCAACUCAGCUAGAAGUGCUUUUGGCCUUUGUCUUUAUUCCUGCCUGAAAACAAAUGUGAGGCUGAGGAUAAGACAGCCCUCGUAUACCAAGAGGACGCAACCAUCACACUCUGAGAAUGUUGGUGCAGAAAGCUAGGAAGAAUUUGAGAUCCCGAAGUCAUCACGGAGCCCCCAUACCUGCCUAUCUGCAGGCUGUAUAGAUGGAGGUCACAGGGGGAAGAAAAACCCUGGAUUUCCAGAACACUGCUACCCCUCUCACCAAUUGGUCGCCAGUAUGGAGACUGAUUUCAUGAAGGUCCAGCGUCUGCUGCGGGCAGUGACCUCGGUCCCUUUCUGGGUCAAACGGCAGAGUGAAGCUGCAGCCAAAUUGAGGGUAAAUAACAGUCACAGCAGGAAGUAGGGAGAAUCCUGUACAGCUGAAACGAUCCUUGAGGAUCCCUGCCAUGGUAGGUGAGAGCAGCAGGGGGGGAAUUUGGAUGACUGGGUGUAUCAUUCUCUUACAGGAAGAAAAAAAUGAAAAAAGGCGAGGACAGCAUAGAGCUAGAAGGGAGGAAAUAAACAGAUGAGGGAGUGAGGAAAAGAGUAGGGAAAGAGAAAAGGGAGGUAGAAAAAAUCCUUUUUGUCUCCAAUCAGUUACAGGUGUAAAGCUUUCUCUAUGUCUGAUCUAGUGCAACUCUAGGCUUUGGAUGGCAUUUUUAUCUCUGCUAGGUUUUUGUUAAAUGAGCACCACACUGGAACCCACUGUUUAUUAACAAAGAAAUGACUGCGUAGAGCUCAAGAAGGGAGGCACAUGGUAGGUUCUUGUCCUCUUCUCAUUCCUGCUAAGAAGUGAGGGGUGCUCCCAAGUGGAUGUUUCACUGCAGGACUAGAAGCAGCACAGGAGGAUUUUUGCAUUCUAAAUGUGAGCACCUCUUAGAAGCACAUACCAGUUCCAGGAGAAAUGUACUAACACUAAAAGCAUAUAUAUUUUAUAAUUUACCAACUAGGACAUGACUGAAUUUUAAUUUGGGUUCCUUAAAAGACACACAAAACACAAACAUUUUGAGUUAAAUGUAAGAGCUGAAGAGGGGUAUGGGUUUCGAGAUGGAAAAUAUCCUAUGGUAACUACACGGUACCUGG
rnacentral:lncRNA from 10 species